GCGUAAACAGGAUGCUGGUAACAGGUAAAUCACGUACACCACCUAUCUAGCAUGUGUGGAUAAAAUGGGCCAGGUUGAAAUGAUCAAAACCGUUCCGAUGGCAACGUCAAUGUCAGUGAAUGUAAAUAUGGCGUCGCUGCUCGGCUCGCAGAUGACAAGCAUCCGCAACAUCCGGUUCACAUACAUCUCGCAAUUAUGACGUGGAAGGCAGGUGAAGUCUAAAAAUGGAGACCUGGCAUCUUCCAAAGAAAACAGAUUGAAAACCAGUUUACGCCGGAACCAAAAAAUCCUCUGAAAGUUUCACCACCUACUGUCAUAAAAGAAAGUCCAGGUUUCAAAGCUCUCCCACCAAGUGGUUCAAGGACUGCGGUAGUUAAGCCUAUGACUCCAUAUUGUCAUGCAACAGUGACCGAUACGCCAGACCAGUUAAAACAUUUUCUCGAGUCAAAUUGCAAUGAGCUUGUGGAAAGCUUAAUUCAGGUUUUUAACCUAAAUACGAUGACUUUGCUAAAGUUUAAGAAAAUGAGGGAUGAAAACUGGGUUCCCCAUGAAUAUAAUUGUUUGAAGUGAUAUAUAUCUAACACUCGUUUCUAGACUUGUGCGUCUUAACAUGUAUAAUUUGAAUGGUAUAAUAACUCUGGUGUUACACUAUUAGUCUCUUUAAUUAUGUGUGACUUUCGCAUCUGUUGAAAGUGUAAUUUGUUUAAAAUUAGUAUAAAUGAGUUGAAUAACUAUACAGAUAUAACUAAUUGUCUGUUUCAAAUCAAUUUAGACAAUCAACGAAUACUUUGCAUAAAAUACAAUUAAUACUAAUGACACUAACAACUUGAAUUCGUCGCCUUCUAUUUAAACGAUUGAUUGUGUUUGUAUUAUACAUGUAGACGACUUACGACAUACAAUAUUGAACAUAAAACGCAAUGAAAUUUGCGGCUUGUUCAACAAUAAAGCUUGCGACUUGUUCAAUAA